CACAGCCAUGGUGAGGCACCUGGACACGGACAAAGUUCUCCGCUACCCAGGUGUAGUAGCCAGUUAUUGUGGGUGGGCUGUAUUACUGAUUGUGUUUUGUGGGUGGGCUGCUGGACUAACAAGGGCACUGACCGGCAGGAGGUCAGAUACCCUGUUAGUCUGAUUGGUAAAGGGGAGAAGUGUGGCGGAACCAACCUCGCCACUAUGCACUGGAGAAGCCUGGUUGCCAGCCUCCUGCCAUCUGACUAUGGCCCCCUUGUGAAGUCGUACUUUUGUAUGCAAUAUUUGGG